GACGAACGCUGGCGGCGUGCCUAAUACAUGCAAGUUGAGCGCUGAAGGUUGGUACUUGUACCAACUGGAUGAGCAGCGAACGGGUGAGUAACGCGUGGGGAAUCUGCCUUUGAGCGGGGGACAACAUUUGGAAACGAAUGCUAAUACCGCAUAAAAACUUUAAACACAAGUUUUAAGUUUGAAAGAUGCAAUUGCAUCACUCAAAGAUGAUCCCGCGUUGUAUUAGCUAGUUGGUGAGGUAAAGGCUCACCAAGGCGAUGAUACAUAGCCGACCUGAGAGGGGGAUCGGCCACAUGGGAAGUGGGACACGGCCAAAACUCCUGCGGGAGGCAGCAGUAGGGAAUCUUCGGCAAAGGAGGAAAGUUUGACCGAGCAACCCCGGGGGAGUGAAAAAGUUUUUGGGAUCGGAAAACCGUGUUGGGAGGGAAAAACGGUGGUGGGAGGGGAAAGCCCAUCAAGGGCGGGAAACUACCCAGAAAGGGAGGGCAAACUAGGG
rnacentral:rRNA from 1 species